CUAUAUUCAGGAAUAAAAAGUCAUUCAAUAGUUUUAACAAUGUCUUUUUUGAUACCUAAAGAAAAAUCUUAUUGAAAAAGGCGUCAUGAUGUUAAGAAAAUUGUUGAUAUGUAUCUCGAAGAAAGCCUUGAUAGUAGUCAUAAUGUUAUUGUAGAUACUGUAGAUAGUGAGACUAUACCUUUUGAUCCAGUUUAUAUGGAAGAGUUAGUGAAAUCGGACAACUUGAUGGUUGAUGCAACAAGUGCAGUUCAGAAGAUGAUAUUUUUUCUUCCGAACCCAAAUCUUCCGAUGAUGAUGUGUCAGAUGAACAGUUAAUACCACUUUUGAGAGAAUGGGCAAUAAAUUGUAACAUACCAGUGACUCAUUUUUCACAAUUGUUGCAACUUCUUCAUCCUUUUCACAAAUUCUUGCCUCUUGAUGCCUGCACUAUAUUAAAGACUCCAGGAAAAAUAAAUCAUUUAGAAGAUGGUAGUCAAUAUUACCAUGUUGGGGUCAAAGAGAACUUAGUGAAAUUGUUCCAUGCAAAAGAAUUGAAUUGUUUGUUAAAUGGCUCUAUACCUCUUCUGAUUAAAAUUGAUGGUUUACCUAUUUACAAAAGCUCUACUUAUCAAUUCUGGGCUAUACUUGGAAUUGUGAAAGGUUCUACUAGUGAGAAACCAUUUUCUAUUGGUAUCUAUGGUGGUAAUAAAAAGCCUGCAAGUGUUAGAGAAUUUUUAAAUAACUUUAUUUCUGAAAUAAAAAUUCUUAAAAAAUAAGGUAUUUUAAUUGAAAAUCGUUUGUUCCAUGUUACAAUUUCAAAUUUUGUUUGUGACGCACCAGCUCGAGCUUUUUUAAAAUGCAUUAAAUCACAUUCAGGUUAUAAUUCAUGUGAGCGCUGCAUCCAGAAAGGUGAAUGUGUUGACAGAAAAGUCAUUUUACCGGAAGUUAAUGCACUGUUGCGUACAGAUUUAUCUUUUGACAAAAUGUUUGAUCCUGCACAUCAUCAUGCAGCCGGUCCAUUAAAAGAACUGAAUUUUGGAUUGGUUAGCAGAUUUAAUCUUGACUACAUGCAACUUGUGUGUCUUGGAGUGAUGCGCCGGCUUUUAACUAUUUGGAAAAAAGGACCUUUGAAAAGUAGACUUUCUGCAAAUCUGACCACUCAACUAUCUGAGCGUUUGUGUAUUCUUCGGUUGAUGAUACCAAAAGAAUUUAGUCGCAAGCCACGAUCUUUACAUGAGUUGGAUCGUUGGAAGGCCACUAAAUUUCGUCAGUUUUUGUUAUAUACUGGACCAGUUGUGCUUAAAGGGAUCCCAAACUCCCAACACAUGUUGUGUUCAUAUUAAAGAUAAUGUUAAAAAAAAAGCAAUAUAUGUGGGAUCACACUCUCUAUUUUCUGAAACCAUCUGCAGGCACUUCAAUUGCAGGAUAUAUGAUCACCUAUGAAAUCAAUUUGAGUUAAAUGGAAAUGAGCAAGUUGUACUGAUUAGGAGUCAUUACAUACUCUGUAUGUAGAUACAUUCAUACGUAAAGAAAAAGAGUUUAGCUCGUGGUCUACCAUUUGAUGAAUUUAUUUAUGGUCCAUUAUAUCAAGAAAACAAGAUAUGAUCAUAGACCACUGAUGUUGAUUCAAAGGUAUAUGUUUGACUAUAAUCAAGAGAAUGCGAGAAAAAACGCAAAAA
rnacentral:lncRNA from 1 species